AACGAACGCUGGCGGCGUGCUUAACACAUGCAAGUCGAACGAGAAAAUCGUAGCAAUACGGUGAGUAAAGUGGCGCACGGGUCCGUAACACGUGGGUAAUCUGCCUUCGGAUGAGGAACAACCUGUCGAAAGACGGGCUAAUGCCUCAUAAGACCACGAGAUCUAAGGAUCUUGGGGUCAAAGGUGGCCUCUAUUUAUAAGCUAUCGUCUGAAGCUGAGCCUGCGCACCAUUAGCUUGUUGGUAAGGUAACGGCUUACCAAGGCCUAGAUGGUUAGCUGGUCUGAGAGGACGACCAGCGACACUGGAACUGAGACACGGUCCAGACUCCUACGGGAGGCAGCAGUGGGGAAUUUUCCGCAAUGGGCGAAAGCCUGACGGAGUGACGCCGCGUGGGGGACGAAGGCCUCGGUCGUAACCC
rnacentral:rRNA from 1 species